rnacentral:rRNA from 1 species
GUUACCAGCACGUAUGUGGGCGACUCCUAAGGAGACUGCCGGUGACAAACCGGAGGAAGGUGGGGAUGACGUCAAGUCAUCAUGGCCCUUACGGCCUGGGCUACACACGUGCUACAAUGGUCGGUACAAAGGGUUGCCAAGCCGCGAGGUGGAGCUAAUCCCAUAAAACCGAUCGUAGUCCGGAUCGCAGUCUGCAACUCGACUGCGUGAAGUCGGAAUCGCUAGUAAUCGUGAAUCAGAAUGUCACGGUGAAUACGUUCCCGGGCCUU